rnacentral:lncRNA from 1 species
AGUUAAAUAUGUAUAAUGAGUUUAUUGAAAAAGAUGUUGAAUACUAUGUGGAUUACAUUGUAUUAAGGGGGGUGUAUUGAACUAAUGAUUUUAGAAUGCUUUGGUGGGUUUUACAAUUAUUGGAAUUUAAAGUGAUUUUAGGUGAUAACUCUGUAAUUUUGUUUGGAUUUUAGAAAGAUCGGUGUUUUGGUAAAAAAACUGUAUUUUAAGUUUCAGAGUGUUUUGGGUGACUUGGGAGAAAACCACUAUAUUUUUCUAAAGGUGAAAUUUUGGGAGAGCUUCGACCAAAAAAAAAAAAAAAUUAUGGGAAAGCUAUUGGAGUUAUGCUUCAAUGGAAGCUCAAUUAUACAUGAGCUUUAAAUUCACGCCUUUCAAAUUUUACACAGAUGGUAAAACAAACAAAAAA